UAGCCGGUUCUGCAAAUACCCUGUGAAAUCGUCCCGCUCAAUGGGGCGGCGUGCAGGGUAGACUACAGGACUAGGGACCAGGUGAGGUGGACGGUAUUCCGUGGGGAGCGGUAAAAUGUGAUAAUCCUCGGAGGACCACCAAUGGCGAAGGCAGUUCACCAAAAUGGAUCCGACGGUGAGGGAUGAAAGCUAGGGGAGCGAUCCGGAUUAGAUACCCGAGUAGUCCUAGCUGUAAACUCUGCGUGCCAGAUGUUGCGUAAUCUCCGAGAUUGCGCAGUGUCGUAACGAAGGUGUUAAGCACGCCACCUGGGAAGUACGGUCGCAAGGCUGAAACUUAAAGGAAUUGGCGGGGAGACACCACAACGGGUGCGGCGUGCGGUUUAAUCGUAUUCAACACCGAGAAUCUCACCAGGGGCGACGGCACAAUGACGCUCAGUCUGAAGGGCUUAGCUGAGGAGCCGAGAGGUGGUGCAUGGCCGCCGUCAGCUCGUGCCGUGAGGUGUCCUGUUAAGUCAGGCAA
rnacentral:rRNA from 1 species